UCUCCGUAGGUGAACCUGCGGAGGGAUCACUACAGGCUUGCAAAAGCUCUGAAACCACUGUUUAUCUACCUGAACCUGCUUCGGCGGGCGGCCCCAGGGCGGGGCCGUAGCCGCAAGGCGCCCGCCGAAGACCCCUAAACUCUGUCGUCUUGAGAAUCUCUGAGUAUCAUAUUAAACAAAAAACAACUUUCAACAACGGAUCUCUUGGCUCUG
rnacentral:misc_RNA from 1 species